AAAAUGGGAGAGAUAUGUCAAGUGAAAUGUUAAUACCUAAGCACUUGACAGUUCAUUGGCAAAGUGGAGAACUAAGAGCUUUAAAAACUAGAGGUGAUGGUAAUUGUCUGUACAGAGCCUGCUCAAAAUUACUUUGUGGCAAGGAAGACCUAUGUCAUUUGCUGAGAGACUUGACAAGCAUUGAGCUAUUCAAUCACCAGGAGUAUUAUGCUAACCACCCUUACUUAAAAGAUAAGUUGCAUUUUUUUAAGUCAGAAAAUACUGCUUUUUCUGCAUCAGUAUCAGAUGUGGCUUUAGGCAAUGGCUAUGAUAGGAAAAAUCCAAGCACAAAAAGUAAUAGUAGUUAAAGGUAAUAGUAGUUAAAGAGGAAGCCCUAAAUAAUGCAUGCAAUGGUACUUAUUCUUCACUUAUGUGUAUAUUUGGUUUGUCUUCUGUCACUGGAAUGACUGUAAUUUCAGUUUAUCCCGAAAAGUUGGACCAGGAGACCAAAUAUUCACAAUUUCUAAAUGGUAAAAUUCUUCCACGGCAAGCACACCAACAUAUUUCAAGUCAACUUGUUCAGCCUGCUAAGUUAAUUUUAAUGUGGACAACUACUGGUGCUUAUUCUCUUCCAGAAUUAGAUAUAGAAUUUCAACCCAAUCAUUUUGUACCACUAAUUGAAUUGAAUCAAACUAAUAACUCAAGAGUUAAUAAUAAAAAAAAUUACUGACCACUUUAAAGUUGAUGUCUUACAGAAAAAUAAAAGUGGACUUGAGCAACAAAUAGACACAACUUUGGUAGCACCUGCAAGAUCCUCACCAAGGGAAGACUUAGAUGGCAGCAGCUUUGAUUGCUUGAAGACUUCCUUAAAACGUGGGUUAAAUUAGUGAUUGUUCAUGUGCAAAUAUAUUUUAAUUAUAGGACCUCUUUCAUGCGACUUUGAAGAUGGAAAAGUAUCAAAUGCUUCUUGUCC